ACUCGUAGGUGGUUGAUCGCGUCGGAAGUGUAAUCUUGGGGCUUAACCCUGAGCGUGCUUUCGAUACGGGUUGACUUGAGGAAGGUAGGGGAGAAUGGAAUUCCUGGUGGAGCGGUGGAAUGCGCAGAUAUCAGGAGGAACACCAGUGGCGAAGGCGGUUCUCUGGGCCUUUCCUGACGCUGAGGAGCGAAAGCGUGGGGAGCGAACAGGCUUAGAUACCCUGGUAGUCCACGCUGUAAACGGUGGGUACUAGGUGUGGGGUCCAUUCCACGGGUUCCGUGCCGUAGCUAACGCUUUAAGUACCCCGCCUGGGGAGUACGGCCGCAAGGCUAAAACUCAAAGGAAUUGACGGGGCCCCGCACAAGCGGCGGAGCAUGCGGAUUAAUUCGAUGCAACGCGUAGAACCUUACCUGGGUUUGACAUGGAUCGGGAGUGCUCAGAGAUGGGUGUGCCUCUUUUGGGGUCGGUUCACAGGUGGUGCAUGGCUGUCGUCAGCUCGUGUCGUGAGAUGUUGGGUUAAGUCCCGCAACGAGCGCAACCCUUGUUCACUGUUGCCAGCACGUUAUGGUGGGGACUCAGUGGAGACCGCCGGGGUCAACUCGGAGGGAGGUGGGGAUGACGUCAAGUCAUCAUGCCCCUUAUGUCCAGGGCUUCACGCAUGCUACAAUGGCUGGUACAGAGAGUGGCGAGCCUGUGAGGGUGAGCGAAUCUCGGAAAGCCGGUCUCAGUUCGGAUUGGGGUCUGCAACUCGACCUCAUGAAGUCGGAGUCGCUAGUAAUCGCAGAUCAGCAACGCUGCGGUGAGUACGUUCCCGGGGCUUGCACUCACCGCCCGUC
rnacentral:rRNA from 1 species